GGUGCCUUGGGCGGAAGGAAGAGCCGCGACGAAUUAACUGUAAAGACACAUGUUGAUGACGGUCGAAUUGCAGUAUAGAAGGAGUCUACAUGUCCAAACCGCUGUGUGGAGCGGGACUUCCCUGAGGACCAACACCUGACUGUGAGACCCUGCCCACUCCAGCUAAGAUGGAUCUUCAUCACAUGCUUACAGAAGUAUUGCAAGCCUAAUCCUGGGGAUUCUAACCGAGAAGCAGACAGACUCCAGGUCCAAGGUGAACUAACACAGGGCGUGGAGGAAGA